AGCUUAUUACGUCAAAAAGGAACAAAGUAAGAAAAUAUUACAAUUUACAAGACCGAGUAUUAAAUAAAUUAAUGAAACAAUUCUGGGAAGCUCUCGCUUGUCUCGGCCCGACACUCGAGGCUGAUGCUCUGUUCCAAGAAGCGGCUCGAUUCAAGCUCCAUGGGAACAAUACGAGGUUGAAGGUGAGGUUUUUCCAAUGUAUUGCUGAAAGGGUGUUCGAGAAAAUGUCGGUUAGAGCUUGCUGUUAGGGUUUUGGGUAAUAUGGAGGAGGAAAAUGUUGGGAAGAAUCAGCAGACUGACGAGAUUCUAUGGGAGAUUGGAGGAUUAAUGGCGAGUGGUAAAUGAGAUGAAGAAGAAAAGAUUGCAGUUGGGCUGUCUUAGGGAUAUAUAGAGACAAUGGUGUUGUGAAAAAAGGAUUCAGUGUGAUUGUAGAAGAGGUGAGAGAGAUGGGUUUGGGUAUGGAUAUGGAUAUGCAUAUAUACAGCACCAUUAUCGACAAGUUUUGUAGAAUGAAAUGAAGAGUAUAACAUGAGUAUGCUUAUAUGCUCAGCAGGUUGAGUUUCCUAUCUUGCUUUCUUUCUAGUUUUCGGUUCUCUUUUGUUUCUCAGCUGAAAUAUCUUCAUGUUUCACAAUUGUUUAUUGCUCCUUUUCAGAUUGAAAUGAAGAAUCUCUGAAGUGGCUGCAUUACAAGUCUAACUCUUUGUUUCUAUCAACUCUUCUGUAGUCCUUAUUUAGUUCGAUUAAGCAGUCAAAUUUUGAUAUGCAGGGGCCUGAAAUAUUCAAGGAAAUGGUAGGCUCUGGCCUGCAACUGGUAAUCUUUGGAAUCUAAACCCUUCACAAAACCACUGCUCUUAUGAAUUCCCAAACCGACGCUUCUCCUAAGAAUAGCUAAGAUUUCCAGAAGAAGAUGCCAUUUGUUCGAUGAGAAAUAAGGCUGAUAGGAAAGCAGAGACGACUGUUGCAAAGUGCUGUGAUGGUUCUUGGCAAAAGGCGUUAACUGUUUACCGGUACAGCAAGACCGGAAAGCUAACUUCUGUGAGCAUGUCCGAGGAGAAGAGAAGACGAUAAAAGAAAGCUUCUUGGAUGGUUGAAAAAGCAAUGGAGACGCAGAAGCUAAGUUAAUAGAAUGGGGCAUUCACAACAUGGAAACAUGAUGAUGAUGAUGAUGAUGAUGAUGAUGAUGAUGAUGAUGAUGAUGCUUCAUAUGUUUCUUAAAGGCUCUGCCUUUUUCCUUAAAUCGAAGAUUAACUGUAUAUGCUUGAGAAAAAAUGUCCCAAAAUAGUCAACUUACUAUGCAAUCCAACCCUUUUGUUUUUUUC